GCAGAAGCAGCGCUUCCUGGCUUCGCCUCCGCAGCAGCCUGCAGAGGGAAACUGAGGUUGGCGCUACAAGGCGGACUGGGUCGCUCAGGAUCCCGCAGUCGCCAGGAAGGACCAGCCGCAGGCUCAUGAUUGAGGACUGGGAAGUCCUGGCCGAGUCCCCCACCUGGGUCCGCUGGGUGGAUCACCCGUUCCCAAGGGCCUAGAGCAGAGAUGCGGGCCCGGGCGGAUCAGCCUGGUACUCUGCGAAGCACCUCGCGGCGCUGCCUGCGGGACCGACCCUCGCGCGCCCGCCAGGUAGAGGGGCGUUCCCCGCGCACCUCCGCUCCCGCUCGCUCAGGUCCUGCAGGCGCUGGUUGAGGCAGGCUCUCGCUCUCGGCCUCGAGCCCGCGCAUCAGCUUCUCUAGCUCCUGCUUCCGCUGGCGACCAUCUCGGUUAUCCUUCUGCAACUGCAGCAGCAGCUCCUGCGUCGCGGCCAUGGCUGUGGAGACCGAGCCUAAAUGCCGCCCGCCUCGGGGACCCAGCCUGCGGCUGGCAGGCGUCACAAUGGGCGGCAGGGAGCGCCUAGCGGGCUGGAUCACAAUGGGCGGCAGGGGAAGCCCGAGGGUAGCCCGACACAUGCCCCUUCUCACGCCGGCCGGAGGCGGGUCAGGCCGGAUCACACUUAGUCCAUCACUGAUGAAAAUUGUGUCAAAGAGCCGUAAUUAGAUCAAUGAAAGGUUAAUGAAAUACUAAUACCAAAUGCAGGCAAGUUGAAGAUUGGUUCCCCCACAGUGCAGAUGGCACUUGCAAACUGAUCGAUCUCUUGUGGAAAAGAACCCAUAAAUAUGUUCGUAACUUUUGACCCAAUUAUCCCUCUCCUGGGAAAUUUAUCCCAGGAAGGAGAAAAAAUUUAAACCCACUACACACUAAAUGGUUCGCUGAAGUGGUUACAGUAGCCACAAAAAAAGGAAACAAUUUUAAUGAUUAAAAUGUGCUUGGGUAUUAUGUGGUAUGCCUAGAGCUAUUAUGAUGUCUAGUGAAAAAGAAUUUGAUUUAGCAUUUAUGCUAAAGUAACUAAGAUAAAAUACAUGAGCAAGAUCCGUAAAGGAAACAGGAAGAAGAUAAGCUCUUUCAUUGCUUGGUGAGACUGUAGGUAAACUCGUCCUUUUAAGUAUUAUUAUUUUAGAGGCAGGUCCUGCUGUCACCAGGCUGGAGUACAGUGGAACAAUCGAAGCUAGCUGCAGCUUCAAUCUCCCAGGCUCAAGUGAUCCUUCCGCCUUAGCCUCCCAACUUGUCCUUUUAAAAUCUGCCUUUAUUUGUCCAGUUACAAUUAUGAACUUGGAUGCAAAAAUCCAAAAUAAAUUACUAACAAAAUCUAAAGGGAAACAGAAAUCCAUGGAAACCAAACAGAGUUUAUUCCAGGGAUUGUUCAACAUCAGAAAAUCAGUGUUGUUCAUCAUAUGGACAAACAGGGAAGAACUCCACGAUCUCAGUGGCGCACUUCAAUAGAUGCAGAAAACGUGAAGAUGAGGGUCACCAUCUAUUAAUAAUUUUUUUUUUUUUUCUGAGACAGAGUCUCACUCUGUUGCCCAGGCUGGAGUGCAGUGGCACAAUCUUGGCUCACUGCAACCUCCGCCUACUGGGUUCAAGCAAUUCUCUGCCCCAGCCUCCGGAGUAGCUGGCAUUACAGGCACUCGCCACCACACCCAGCUAAUUUUUUUGUAUUUUUAGUAGAGACAGGGUUUCACCAUCUUGGCCAAGCUGGUUUUGAACUCCUGACCUCGUGAUCCACCCACCUCGGCCUCCCAAAGUGCUGGAAUUACAGGCCUGAGCCACCUCACCUGACCAUCUAUUGAUAAUUCUAAAAGCUCUUUCUUACAAAAGGGAGAGAUAAAAGCACUCUCUAGUCUGAUAAAGGCCACGGUAAAUAUUAUAGUAAGGAGGAAGUAUUAAUAGUAUAUGCUUUUUUUUCUUUUUCUUUUUUUAGAGUCAGGGUCCUGCUGUCACCCUGGCUGGAGUGCAGUGGUACGAUCAAAGCCAACUGCAGCAGCCGCAAACUUCAGGGCUCAAGCGAUCCUCCCGCCUCUCACCCUAUAAGAAGUAGUAGACGGCCGGGCGCGCUUUUAGUCUGGGCGCGGUAGCUCACGCCUGUAAUCCAGCACUUUGGGAGGCCGAGGUGGGUGGAUCACGAGGUGAGGAGUUCAAGACCAGCUUGGCCAAGAUGGUAAAAUCCUGUCUCUACUAAAAAUACCAAAAAAAAGUUAGCCGGGUAUGGUGGUGCUUGCCUGUAGUCCCACCUACUUGGGAGGCUGAGGCAGGGGGAAUCGCAUGAUCUUGGCUCACCACAACCUCCACCUCCCGGGUUCAAGUGAUUCUCCUGUCUCAGCCUCAUGAGCAGCUGGGAUUACAAGCAUGCGCCACCACGCCCAGCUAAUUUUGUACUUUUAGUAGAGACGGGGUUUCUCCAUGUUGGUCAGGCUGGUCUUGAACUCCCAACCUGAGGUGAUCCACCUGCUUUGGCCUCCCAAAGUGCUGGGAUUACAGGCGUGAGCCCCUGCGCCUGGCCCUACACCCGACUGAUUUUUGUAGUUUUAGUAGAGACAGGGUUUCACCAUGUUGUCCAGGCUGGUCUCAAAUUCCUGGCCUCAAGUGAUCUGCCUGCCCCGGCUUCCCAAAGUGCUGGGAUUACAGGAGUGAGCCACCGUGCCCGGACUAAAAGGUACAUUUUUAAAAAAGAGGUGACUUAAGAUUUCAUAGAAACCAACUUUUUGUAAAACUAUGAUAAGCCAAAUACUUGGACCAGCCCUCACACUGAGAAGUACCAAAAAUGCUGACAAAAUAAAAGGAUGUUUUCUUAAAGGCAUCCAGGGGCUGACAAGACAGUGAGGAGCCGCCAGGCACCAUCUGGGGAAACCAGAAACCAGAGAGGCGAGCCAAGCCGCUCUUGCCCUGAAAACAUCUGCCCCCAUCCAGCCACCCCGGGCUUCCGAUGAGAACUCUAAGGCUGGUCCCCAC
rnacentral:lncRNA from 10 species